rnacentral:rRNA from 1 species
GUGGGUAGCGGUGAAAUUCCAAUCGAGCCCGGAGAUAGCUGGUUCUCCCCGAAAUAGCUUUAGGGCUAGCCUCAAGGUGAGAGAUACGGAGGUAGAGCACUGAAUGUCCUAGGGGGUAUUGCACCUACCGAAGACUAUCAAACUCCGAAUGCCGUCAUCUUAUACUUGGGAGUCAGACUGUGGGUGAUAAGAUUCAUAGUCGAAAGGGCAACAGCCCAGAUCGUCAGCUAAGGUCCCUAAAUGUAAGUUAAGUGGUAAAGGAUGUGGGAUUGCACAGACAACCAGGAUGUUGGCUUAGAAGCAGCCACUCAUUCAAAGAGUGCGUAAUAGCUCACUGGUCGAGUGAUCCUGCGCCGAAGAUUUCCGGGGCUAAA